ensembl:lncRNA CASC15 cancer susceptibility 15
GAGUGAUACCCUGAAAGUUUACAGUCAACACUCCUUGUGUGGGGUCAGUCCUAGAAAUGGCGACGCUGCUCUCCGAAGAUAGGAAAGAAAAGGACCUCAUUCCAUUGAGCCAUUGACCGAAAUAUUUUCUCAACAAAGUUGAACUGAGCUGAAACUGUGUGAAUCAUGGCAAUACAGUGAAAGACAGUGAUUUACUGCUUUUGAGGGCGUGCAUGUAUAUGAUUAACGGAUGGAAGUGCAGGACUCCAAGAUUUACUUCCUUCCCUUUCCAGCAGAAUUACCUGAGACGAGUAAAAUCUACUGGUGGAGUCACUCCAUUAUUCUUAUCUGUGGAGAUCUAGAUCUUGAUUUGAAAGUUUCUGAGAAAAUCUUCAGCUCAGACUUGAGGGUCAACUUUACCAGCUGAAGGAUCUGCAUUUACUGCUCAACCACAUCUAAUUUGAUGUCCUCUGCAGAUUUAAAAUGUGUGCCUUCUUUUCCGUCACCAAGUCAUCCCUGGGUUACUACUGAACAUCCUUCUCAAUUCCCCCCGACCCAUGGAUGGCUGUUCUCCAUUGUCUGUUUCACCAGAUGUCCUCAAAACAAACAGACAGAAGAAGGAAGUGGCUAAUGGAGCUGUGGAGUCCAAGUGUGACUGCCAAGAGGAAUCCAGCAAAGCCAAAAAGCCCAAGCAUGUAGCCCUGCCCGAAGCACGCCACACGCAUGGAAAACCCAGAGGAAAUGAGUGAGGAUCAAUGGGAAGAAGAGAGCCAGCCAGGUUCGAUGCCUUCUCCAUCCGUCAGUGAGGGUGUGGAGAGCCUGCAGGCGUGUGCCUCCCUCUGUAACUUGCUAUUCCUUGUGUAAUGUCAAGUGGAAGUGUGAAGCACCACAAACUGCUCUGAGCAGAGCCCACUUCCCUUCACCCACGGAGAGCGUGAAGCAGUUACACCAACAUCAAUCAAGGAAAACCCACAGGCUGAGCUCACACGGUUGAAGCAGGUGCGUGAGCGAGCGUUCUGUGACAGGCACACGUGAUUGAGGUGUACCUCGGCGUCUUGCCCACAGAUGUCGGUUGCGAUGACUGUGUGGGGCUGUGCCCAUUCCCUGCAGAGCCGAGCCUGUCAUGCUUGUGGGACACAGUGGGUGCAGCUCUUGGCAGCUCAGUGGGGUGAGCAGGUCAGGUAGUUCUGAAGUAGGCUUCUUUGCUGUUUACUCACUUGUUUAAUGGUGAGGAGAAGAAUCCAGGAGAAAUAGUGUUUUAUUUUCUUUCAGUGGUGUUUUGCAGUGAGAACACCCCUGGGAUUACUCCUUUAAAACAGUAAACAAGAGGCCGGGUGUGGUGGCUCAGGUCUAUAAUACCAGCUCUUUGAGAGGCCGAAGCAGGAAGAUUGUUUGAGCCCAGGAGUUCAAGAUCAGCCUGGGCAACAUCUCUAAAAGACACCAUCUCUAAAAGAAUUUUUUAUUUUUUAAUUUGCCUUGUGUGGUGGUGUCCCCUUGUUCUCCCAGCUACUUGGAGGCAGAGGUGGAAGGAUCCCUUAAGCCUGGGAGGUCGAAACUGCAGUGAGCCAUGGUUGCGCCACUGCACUCCAGCCUGGGCAACAGAGCGAGACCCUGUCUCAGAAAUAAAUAAAUAAAUGAAAUAAAAUAGUAAACAAGAAAA